rnacentral:rRNA from 1 species
UAAUAAUCUAAAUCCAAGGGGAUUUAGAUGAAAUGAUGUUGAAUGAGGGGAAACCCGUUAACUACCUACUAAACAUGGUGUAGAUUUAUUAGAAGUUUUUUAGUAUUUUUAAAAAAAUGACAGAAAAUGUAAAAGUAAUAUUAAUGAUUUAAUAUUUAGGUGUUUUAAUAUGAUAACAUCCAGUUUAAUUUGAAAAUGUAUUUGGUUUAUAUAUAGAUAAAAUAAUUUAUUUUUAAAAAAUAAUAUAUGGAAUUCAUAUUUUAUUUGCUAGUAUGUACUCUGUUUGAUUUUUCAUCAAUUACUCCCAAGAGUUAAUAAUGAGUUGGAGGUUUCUAUUAAAUCUUUUAGACGGUUAUAAGAAAGUCAAAUUUAUGGUGAAAUGAGGACGAGAAAAUUGAAAACUGAUUAAUCCAUGAUUAGAUUAAGCAAAAGGUUUUGAAUUUUAAUAUUGAAAAUUGAAUUUAAUUAAUUUUAAAUUGGAUAUUAAUAUUUUUGGUGAUGAAUUUUAAUAUUAAUUUUGUUUUAUUUCAUAUUUAAAAUUGUUCGGAUCGGCUAAUAAGACCUUGUUCAUAAUAUGUUUAUUAAUUAAUGGCCCCAUUUAAUUGUAACGGGUGAUGUAUUUAAUUUGAAUUUAUUAUAAUAAAAUUUUAAAAAUUUGGUAUUAGUUUAAAAUUUAGAUAUUUUCGUUAGAAAU